rnacentral:tRNA from 1 species
GGGCGCGUAGCUCAGUUGGUCAGAGCAAUUGCCUUACAAGCAAUAGGCCAGGGGUUCGAGUCCCUUCGCGCCCACCG